UGAUACUCAGUGUAAUAGGUGCUGGAAAAAGAGUGGGAAAUUUAGAGUAGAUCACUAAAACUUAAACAUUACUGAAGUUACAAAGCCAGAGAAAAAAGCACUCGAAAGUUACAGAGUAGAUCACUGAAACUUACACAUUACAGAAGUUACAAAGCCAGACACAAAAGCACUCGAAAAUUACAGAGUAGAUCACUGAAACUUACACAUUACUGAAUUUACAAAGCCAGACACAAAAGCACUCAAAAAUUACAGAGUAAGAUGGACUAAUAAAACCUGAAACUACAGUCCAAAAUCACUGACGCUUAACUGAUAAAAUUCAGUCCCGAUCACUCCAAAUCUGCUCAAAGUUAUAAUCCAACUCACUGACAAAAACAACCGGCAUCAUACACAUAUACAGUAAACAUCUAGGAGCUAGAUUCAACAUUUACAUCCACACAUCUAGGGGCUGUGCACAUAUAGGGGCACAUGAACAACUACAGAGACAUUCGGGAGCAGAAAUCAAAAAUAGACAUGAGGGAACCACCCCUACAACUACAUCAAACCAGGCGUUGUUGCAUCUACAUCUACUAGAUGUUGCUCCAUCUGCAGCAAAAUCGGACAUCUAGGAACCACCACAAACAACCUAAAAGAGUUGGGAUCCACCACUACACAUGGGAACAAACACACCACUAAGCCAGAUCUAGCAAAGUCCUACAGAAAUUGCAGCGAAAUGAAGACAUGGGGAAAGGAUACUGGCAAACCAACCUCGUUGCGUGAAGAAGGGAGGCACAGGGGUCGAAACACCACAGCAAAAGGAGGGGCGGGACGAAAUCAACAGAAGCAGAUAAGACACCGCUGCCGAAUCACCAUGCAUCGACCUCUCCUCUGCCUCAACACACUUCAAGGAGAAGCAACAGGGGAUGGGGGAGGGGGAGGGGGAGGGGGACCGGGCGCCUAACCACUGGCUCGCUCUCCAGAGAUCAGCGACAAAGCUAACCUACCAAAAUCGCCAUGGCUCUCUCCUCUCUGCCUCCAAGAUCUUGCCGCUCCAAAUGGGAAAGGAAAACAGACAAAGUCAGCGGAGAAGAUAAAAGGAAAUUCGAAAAUAAAAGAAAAAACCGGCUAGUACACGGACCCGCCA
rnacentral:lncRNA from 1 species